UUCUUUCUCAGGUUUCCUCUAUGUGAGCAUUAAAUCUCUCCGACUGUGAGUGCAGUGACUCCUCGAUUGCUCUUCCUCUAGCGACCGCCAAGGGAGAGGAAGUUCAUAGUGGGUGCGUGUAUUGGUGUUGGUGUUUGCAGUAAAAAGUGUGUGCCGAGACGCGUUGAGAAUCCAGAUCCAAGUCUCUCUCCCUCUUUCUUGUCUUCUUCAUCUCCAUGGAUGAAUCAAUCAGAAGGGACUGGGGGAAAUCAUUGGCUAUGGCCUAUCUUUAGGCGAGAACUACUCGAGAAAGGCUAGGGUUUGGGUGUUCAGUGCAGCUAUGUCACCAUUGGCUGAGACUUGACAGAGAAGGGUUGAAGGUGACCAAGACGAUGGAAAAGUUGUGGUCUAGGGUGUGUUGACAUUUCGCCUUGAAGAUCUACAUCGUUGCUAUAUACUAGAGGAAAUGAUGCCGUGAAGACCUUUAUUGCAGCCGUGUGUCGUUGCUGUACAGCCAAGGAUGCAACGCCGUAAAGACCUCCACUGCUGCAGUGAAGACCGCUGUUUUCUGCCAU